rnacentral:rRNA from 1 species
CACGUAGGGUGCGAGCGUUGUCCGGAAUUAUUGGGCGUAAAGAGCUCGUAGGCGGUGUGUCGCGUCGGCCGUGAAAACCUGCAGCUUAACUGUGGGCUUGCGGUCGAUACGGGCAUCACUGGAGUUCGGCAGGGGAGACUGGAAUUCCUGGUGUAGCGGUGAAAUGCGCAGAUAUCAGGAGGAACACCGAUGGCGAAGGCAGGUCUCUGGGCUGACACUGACGCUCAUGCACGAAAGCGUGGGGAGCAAACAGG